rnacentral:misc_RNA from 1 species
UUGCCAUCUCCGAAUCUUCAAGAAGAGUUCAAAUUCGGAAAGAAAGAAAAGAGCUGCACCGAUCAAAAACAUGAAGAGUCGUUCUUCUUUGCGAGGGCUUCCUGUAAGUUAUUUUCUUUUCUUUUGUAUAUAUAUUUUUUUCUUCUUAUAUCUAUGAGCCUGUUGAUUGAAUUUGUUAAAUAACUCCACGUUAUGAGAAUUGGGUCUCGUUUUUUUCGUGAUUUUCUUAUGUGGGCAUCAAUUUAAAUGAUUGAUCUUUGGUUUAGUGUAACUUUACUAUUCGGUUAUGCAUUAUUCUACGGCUAUGGAAUGAGAACUGGAAACCAUUUAAGUGAGAAAAUCAUGGCCUUUCUUUUUAUCUCGAAAAUCAACUCAAUAAACGAUUUAAUUUUCUCAUAAUUAUUAGAAUAUUAGCCAUUUUUUAGAGCAAUUUCGUUCUAUUGCAUCCUCGUUAUUCUCUAAUUUCCGGCAUUUACUGUAUAUGUCUCAACGAAAAUGAAUUUUCUUGUUUAGUAUUAAUUGAACAAUUUUUGUGUUGUUAUAUGACUAUGAAUUGCUUGUAUGAUAAUAUGAUAUAUAUCAAGUAGUGUAAAAGUGGCAAUUGAAACUGAAUUUGUAUUGGUUAGCUUUAUUAAACUAUUUGGGAUUUAAGGGACUGGGAGUAAUGCUUGAGAUGGGACAAGAUAUUUGAUGUGGGGAUAAUGAGAGUAUUGGUCCUAUGAGAUAUCAAGUGGAGGAUAAUUACUUAGAUUAUUUUGCUAUAUGGCAAUCAUACAUGCUUUUGUAGUUUCCUUUUAUUUGCUAUGUGAUGGAUUUAAAGAGCGAGCAUAGAUUUCUGAGAAGAAAAUACGAAAUGCUUGUGUUGUAGUUCCUUAUUUUUGUGGCAAAUAAAAGGUUAUUAUAGGCGGAUAAUUCCUGUAAAAACUAGUGCUAUACCCCAACAAGAGCAUUCAACUUUUGUGCUAAAGAAAAUUUAGAUGAGAUGGAUGCCUUUGCUAUUAACAUUGUCUAAUAUAUGCUUUUUGAGUAAAAGGCCUUCUGCUUAUGUGGUUCUAUUAAUACACAGGAGAAAUGUGGGCGGCGGUUGUGAUAAAAGAUAUAAUGUUCCAUGUCCAUUAAAAAUGCUGCUAAAAGUUAAAAAAAAUGGCCAAAAAGUUUCACAUGGCAUUCCCAAGAUAAUAGGCAUGAUGCUAUCAUGCUAUCUGGUAUUAAAUUUAGUUGGCAAAAUUUUAUUUCAGAGGAUAACUUCAUAUGGCAUGAUGCCCCCAUUAGGAACCCAUUUAUGAAAAUUUGGAGGGGAAGCAUGAAUGCUACUCCUUCUAUCCCACAAAGAUAGGCUUCCUUUCCUUUUUCAUUUGUCCCAAA